rnacentral:rRNA from 1 species
AUUGAACGCUGGCGGCAGGCCUAACACAUGCAAGUCGAGCGGAUGAAGGGAGCUUGCUCCUGGAUUCAGCGGCGGACGGGUGAGUAAUGCCUAGGAAUCUGCCUGGUAGUGGGGGAUAACGUCCUGAAACGGGCGCUAAUACCGCAUACGUCCUGAGGGAGAAAGUGGGGGAUCUUCGGACCUCACGCUAUCAGAUGAGCCUAGGUCGGAUUAGCUAGUUGGUGGGGUAAAGGCCUACCAAGGCGACGAUCCGUAACUGGUCUGAGAGGAUGAUCAGUCACACUGGAAUUGAGACACGGUCCAGACUCCUACGGGAGGCAGCAGUGGGGAAUAUUGGACAAUGGGCGAAAGCCUGAUCCAGCCAUGCCGCGUGUGUGAAGAAGGUCUUCGGAUUGUAAAGCACUUUAAGUUGGGAGGAAGGGCAGUAAGUUAAUACCUUGCUGUUUUGACGUUACCAACAGAAUAAGCACCGGCUAACUUCGUG